rnacentral:rRNA from 1 species
GACAGAGGGUGCAACCGUUGUUCGGAAUUACUGGGCGUAAAGCGUGUGUAGGCGGCCGUGCCAGUCGGAUGUGAAAGCCCUGGGCUCAACUCAGGAAGUGCACCCGAUACUACGUGGCUCGAGUACCGGAGAGGUUGGUGGAAUUCUCGGUGUAGAGGUGAAAUUCGUAGAUAUCGAGAGGAACACCUGUGGCGAAGGCGGCCAACUGGACGAGUACUGACGCUGAGACACGAAAGCGUGGGGAGCAAACAGG